AUUGAACGCUGGCGGCAGGCCUAACACAUGCAAGUCGAGCGGAUGAAGGGAGCUUGCUCCUGGAUUCAGCGGCGGACGGGUGAGUAAUGCCUAGGAAUCUGCCUGGUAGUGGGGGAUAACGUCCGGAAACGGGCGCUAAUACCGCAUACGUCCUGAGGGAGAAAGUGGGGGAUCUUCGGACCUCACGCUGUCAGAUGAGCCUAGGUCGGAUUAGCUAGUUGGUGGGGUAAAGGCCUACCAAGGCGACGAUCCGUAACUGGUCUGAGAGGAUGAUCAGUCACACUGGAACUGAGACACGGUCCAGACUCCUACGGGAGGCAGCAGUGGGGAAUAUUGGACAAAGGGCGAAAGCCUGAUCCAGCCAUGCCGCGUGUGUGAAGAAGGUCUUCGGAUUGUAAAGCACUUUAAGUUGGGAGGAAGGGCAGUAAGUUAAUACCUUGCUGUUUUGACGUUACCAACAGAAUAAGCACCGGCUAACUUCGUG
rnacentral:rRNA from 1 species